GCUGACUCCAGAAGGAGAAGGAGAACCUUGGCUUUAAUCUUCAUUUAAAAAAUACACAUUGGAAGGAGGGGAGGGAAUAUAGUUGAUACUGCCUGGUGUUCUGUCAGAGGUACGGUGGGAGUUGCAGGGAAUAUUUAAAUGUCUGUAUCAUUGCUUCAUGAGACAUUUUGUAUGUUUUCCUCCUUUUUGACUCGUGCUACUUUUAUUAGAAAUAAGAAAUCAUCAUAGAAAAUUUUAACACUUAAAAAUUUUAAAUUUAACUUUUUUUUUUUUUUUGAGACAGAGUUUUUGCUUUGUUGCUCAGGCUGGAGUGCAGUGGCAUGAUCUUGGCUCACUGCAACCUCUGCCUCCUGGAUUCAAGUGAUUCUCCUGCCUCAGCCUCCCGAGUAGCUAGGGUUAUAGGCGCUUGCCACCAUGCCCAGCUGCUUUUUUUUUUUUUUUUUUCUGAGACAGAUUUUCGCUCUUGUUGCCCAGGCUGGCGUGCAAUGGCGUGAUCUCGGCUCACUGCAACCUUUGCCGCCUGGAUGCAAGUGAUUCUCCUGCCUCAGUCUCUGGAGUA
rnacentral:lncRNA from 1 species